rnacentral:rRNA from 1 species
GUAGUGUCCUCGCAUGCUUUUGACGGGUAACGGGGAAUUAGGGUUCGACUCCGGAGAGGGAGCCUGAGAAACGGCUACCACAUCCAAGGAAGGCAGCAGGCGCGCAAAUUACCCAAUCCCGAUACGGGGAGGUAGUGACAAGAAAUACCGAUUCAGGAUCUUAUUGGAUCUUGAGAUUGGAAUGAGUACAAUUCAAACCCAUUAACGAGGAACAACUAGAGGGCAAGUCUGGUGCCAGCAGCCGCGGUAAUUCCAGCUCUAGUAGCGUAUAUUAAAAUUGUUGCAGUUAAAACGCUCGUAGUUGAACUUUGGGCUUGGCUGGCUGGUCCGCCUCACCGCGAGCACUGGUCCGGCUGGGCCUUUCCUCUUGGGGAUCCACAUGCCCUUCACUUGGGUGUGUUGGGGAACCAGGACUUUUACUUUGAAAAAAUUAGGGUGUUCAAAGCAGGCAUUUGCUCGAAUACAUUAGCAUGGGAUAAUAGAAUAGGACGUGUGGUCUUAUUUUGUUGGUUUCUAGGACCGCCGUAAUGAUUGAUAGGGAUAGUUGGGGGCAUCGGUAUUCAAUU